rnacentral:ncRNA from 1 species
GUACGGUUUUGCGAGAAUUAAUAGGGAAGGCGGUCAGAGUCCGCCGCAACAGCCAUUACCGUGUUCGGCUAAAGGGAGCAUUAUGCCACUGAGUUAAUCGGGAAGGCGCUUCACAAUAUAUGCCGUAAGUCGGGAGACCUGCCGUACUCGUA